rnacentral:rRNA from 1 species
GACGAACGCUGGCGGCGUGCUUAACACAUGCAAGUCGAACGAUGAAGUUCCUUCGGGAAUGGAUUAGUGGCGAACGGGUGAGGAACACGUGAGAAACCUGCCUUUCAUUUUGGGAUAACUCCGGGAAACCGGGGCUAGACCCGAAUACUCCGUCUCGGCGGCAUCGCUGAGCCGGGAAAAAAUUUUGAUGAAAGAUGGUCUCGCGGCCUAUCAGCUAGUUGGUGAGGUAAUGGCUCACCAAGGCAACGACGGGUAGCCGGCCUGAGAGGGCGACCGGCCACACUGGGACUGAGACACGGCCCAGACUCCUACGGGAGGCAGCAGUGGGGAAUAUUGGGCAAUGGGCGCAAGCCUGACCCAGCGACGCCGCGUGAGGGAUGAAGGCCUUCGGGUUGUAAACCUCUUUCAGUAGGGAAGAAGCGAAAGUGACGGUACCUAAAGAACAAGCACCGGCUAACUAUGUGCCAGCAGCCGCCGUAA